GCUAGAAUUAUUCGAUAGUAGAGUUUGUGAUCACAUGUGGAGAUGUCUGGGUUUUGGACAUCUGACGUCGCAACUUACUCGAAAACGAUUGAAUUUUUUACCAUAGCCUACACAUGUGUUAAUAUGAAACCUCGUAAAGUUUCGUGAUUUUUAGACCUUGUAUAGAUUUAAUAUAAUUUUAAAUCAUUUUUCUGAGAAGUGGCUAAUCAUGUCACACGUAAAAGUUGCGCGGAAUUUGAUUCCGGUUUGUGCGCAGGGACUCCACACACAUCAAAUAACAUGAAUAACAUUUUUUGAAAAACUAUAGUUUAUUAUAUCAUGCACCUGCAGUUCAAAUUUAUAACAGUGUGAAAAUUACGACGAAUUGAAAUAAAUUCAAGAAAUAUAUAUAAAAAAGUGAAAUUUGUGCCAAUUUUUAAAUUUGUGUUUAAAAUAAUGUGAUUUGUGCCCAC
rnacentral:lncRNA from 1 species